CCUACGGGUGGCUGCAGUGGGGAAUAUUGGGCAAUGGGCGCAAGCCUGAACCAGCCAAGUAGCGUGAAGGAUGAAUGCCCUACGGGUUGUAAACUUCUUUUAUAAAGGAAUAAAGUGAGGCACGUGUGCCUUUUUGUAUGUACUUUAUGAAUAAGGAUCGGCUAACUCCGUGCCAGCAGCCGCGGUAAUACGGAGGAUCCGAGCGUUAUCCGGAUUUAUUGGGUUUAAAGGGAGCGUAGAUGGGUUGUUAAGUCAGUUGUGAAAGUUUGCGGCUCAACCGUAAAAUUGCAAUUGAUACUGGCAGCCUUGAGUACAGUUGAGGUAGGCGGAAUGCGUGGUGUAGCGGUGAAAUGCUUAGAUAUCACGAAGAACUCCGAUUGCGAAGGCAGCUUACUAAACUGCCACUGACAUUGAUGCUCGAAAGUGUGGGUAUCAAACAGGAUUAGAUACCCGAGUAGUC
rnacentral:rRNA from 1 species